rnacentral:rRNA from 1 species
AAUAGAUACCCAGGUAGUCCAUGCCGUAAACGUUGGGCACUAGGUGUGGGGGACAUUCCACGUUUUCCGCGCCGUAGCUAACGCAUUAAGUGCCCCGCCUGGGGAGUACGGCCGCAAGGCUAAAACUCAAAGGAAUUGACGGGGGCCCGCACAAGCGGCGGAGCAUGCGGAUUAAUUCGAUGCAACGCGAAGAACCUUACCAAGGCUUGACAUGUGCCAGACCGCCUCAGAGAUGGGGUUUCCCUUCGGGACUGGUUCACAGGUGGUGCAUGGUUGUCGUCAGCUCGUGUCGUGAGAUGUUGGGUUAAGUCCCGCAACGAGCGCAACCCUCGUUCCAUGUUGCCAGCACGUAGUGGUGGGGACUCAUGGGAGACUGCCGGGGUCAACUCGGAGGAAGGUGGGGAUGACGUCAAAUCAUCAUGCCCCUUAUGUCUUGGGCUUCACGCAUGCUACAAUGGCCGGUACAAUGGGUUGCGAUACUGUGAGGUGGAGCUAAUCCCUAAAAGCCGGUCUCAGUUCGGAUUGGGGUCUGCAACUCCG